GGGCCCGUGGCCUAGCCUGGAUAAGGCAACUGCCUCCUAAGCAGUGGAUCGCGAGUUCGAAUCUCGCCGGGCCCG
rnacentral:tRNA from 1 species